rnacentral:tRNA from 1 species
CGCCGCACCGGCGCGGGGAGCACGGCGGAACGGGCGCCGGCGGCGCUCGUGAGACCGUGGACUCCAGACACCGGGGGUUCCUCUCCACCGUGGGGCGA